AGUUCUUUCUUCCAUUAGGCUGGUGCAAAAGUAAUUGUGAUUUUUGACAUUAAAAGUAAUUGCAGAAACUGUAAUUACUUUUGCACUUUACAUGAUGCAAAUGCA
ensembl:miRNA